rnacentral:lncRNA from 1 species
CCGGGAUUUCUCAGGAGGGCCAUGGCAGCUGGGCUGGGGCGCUGCCGUGGCCCUGAGGCGGCGGCCCCGCGCGCUAACAUGGCGGCAGCGCCUCCGCCCGCUCCCCGGGGCGCCGCCACCGCCGCCCUCCCCGCACAGCCCGGGCACCCGGGCGGGGCUUGAGCUCCCCUCGCCUCGCCAUGGCGCCGGCAAGAAGCCCUCAGUCCCUUCAGGGCUUCCACCGGGCUCCUCGCUGAGCUUCGCCCUCGGCUACCUGGCCUCGGGGCGCGGCGCGGCUCGACACACCCCCGCGGGCGGAGCUCGCCGCAUCCUCGGGGAUCGCCGGGAAAGCCGUACAGCUGCACCAGCAAAUAUGCUCCCUGCAGAGACAUUCCCAGCACAGCCAAGUGUGGGAGACCCUGACGUUGUUGCUUUGAGGCUGAAGACAGUCCCAUCUCUGCUGCUUGGUGCUGUUGGGAAACACUCUUUACUUGCUUACAUAGAGAACUAAGAGAAGGCUAUAGGGAUUUCAUGAGAAGGUAGAUACUUCAACAUGAAUUGGUAAAUGUAAUGUAAAAUAUUAUCUGAAAUGGGAUUUGAGAAAAGCUAAUGGAAAGGUAAGUUCCCAUAUGCAAAAAAAGCACUUUUUUGUUUUUUUCUGUCCUCCAACUGAUACUAAAGCAUGGGGCCUGUAGUCCAACCACUAAUAUCUUUAUUCAGUUUUCCAUUUUCUCUCAAUAGUCCUGUGUGCUCACUGCCACAUCAGUUUUUGUUUGAAGCCGAUUCUAACUUACUCUGGCCAGUAUUUGUAAAUGACAAAUCUAACAUCUCUGCAGAGUAAGGCAGGUGAUUAACCAUGAGCGUGUGGAUACCCAAUUAAGAUAUCUUAUGAUCUUAGUUGACCUUUCUGGUCAUUGUCAGCUGGGGGAUUCAGAGAAAUGCUGCCAACUUAAAAAAAGCUGAUUUAAUUCUGGAAAUAUUAUUAGAUCAAAUAACAGAGUUGAAAAAACUCGACAAGAUUAGAUUUUUUUUAAAUGAUCAACAAUUAGUUUGUUAGAAUUGUGUGUUUAGCACUUGUGAAUGGUCAUUUUUACCAUUUCUCUCAUGAGUUUAGCCACUUUCCGUUAUUGAAAAAGUUCCUUGUAAAUACAGCAAAAGGCAUUGCUUUGGAAAAAGGAAACCUUACAUGAUAGGAGUUGCCAAUAUUUUUUUAAUUUAAGAUAUUUGAACGCUAGAAUAACAUAAUGUAUGUAGCUGUUUAGCAGAUAUAAAUAAGAGUUGCAAAUAACAUAUGUUCAAUUUAGCUGUAGUUAUGCUAAUGGAAAAUAGAAAAUUGGAAAACAUUGAAGGUAAAAAGGUUCAGAAAGAAAAAUAUUAAUUGGAUCGUUCCAGGGGCGUAAUUCAGAAACAAAACUUAGUCACAAAGAUGCCAGCACAAAUAUUUGUUGCUAUUUAUAGGAUUAUUUUUACUAUCCCUCUGUGUUUACUCGCUAUUAAAAAGAUCAAGAUAAUUUGUGUGAAUUACCUUAUAUGGAGUCAGGUGACGUUCUGUGAGGUAAUAAAAGAAGGACUCUGUUCUCCUCA